AUAUCUCUCUGUCUAUCUACCGUGCUCAAAGCUUCUCGCGCUAUAGGCUGCCUUGCACUACCCACGAGAUCUGUUAGAAGGGGACUGCAGAAAACUGCAUUGAAAAGGGAACUUUGGCAUGAAUGUUGCCAGCGGGAUUGGAACAGGAACUUCCCUGCUGUUGAUUCUUUUCCUUCAACGUUACCCGAAUUAGUUUUGUGCUUUGGAUAUUCAAGAGUAGAACGCGGUGAGACGAAGGCGAUCGGAAGCAGGAGAGAAGAUUCGCAGGAAACCAGUUGGACCAGCUGUAGUGUCCGCGGAGGGAAAGGAUCUCGUAAUAGUCCUUGAGGAAAAAAGUGGUACGGUCCAGAAGAAGCAAACCGAGCAGUAGGGAGGAACAGGACCUUCUUCCUGGAUGAGUAGAUCAGCUCUGGGAUCCUUGAAAAUGUAUUUGGUGCCUAGAGACACAAUACCAGCAGCACGGCCUUCUCGAAAUAGCCGAGCUGCGCCCGGAUGAACUAUGCGAAAAUACUGUCAUCCCAAUUCUCUUGGAACCGGCUCGCCGUUCGAUUGGCUCGGAGGAUCGAACGGAAAGUCAACGGGAGGUGGAUCAUUAGAAAGGGAGCGUGUGGUUUAUUUCUGAUAUUGCGCGAUCACGUUGACAAAUUUAUCGGGCUAUCUUAAAGAUUCAUAAAAAAGAAAACACGAGGCUCAACGACUGUACCGAGGGUUAAUUAAAAGUACGAGGAAAAAUAUUAUAGACGGAAUCUCACGAAAUUAAUGUUAUCGUGCGUUCAAGAAUUUCGCGUUUCGACUACGUGUAUUCGAGUGAUAUCAGGAAUUGCGUAAGCACUGUCGGAAUCACCUGAGAAAACACUGCUGGCUUCUUCACAACGAUGUGAUCUUCGUUACGAGUAUCGUAAGGGAUACCGUGAUACCUGCUGUGCCAACCGAACGGAUGAUAAUGAUCGACAGGAAAAGUACUUUUAUGUAGUAAAUUAUGAAAUCUGUCAUUCAUGCCUAAAAGAAAUGUUUUUUUAUUUAGCAAAUUCCACGAAUCGCCGUUUCCUAUUCCACUGGCGGUUGCUAUGAUUGUGCGAUCAAAAUCGUUGAUUCUGUUAACUGAAUUUUGAUAAAUUUGAUUCGAGCCGUCAUACGAAUUCAGUAUGUGAUUAGUUCGAUAAAAUCCUGGUUGAUGUAGCAAUCGAGAUAACAGCUGACCAGGUUGCUGCAUCGAUAGAUCUGGCCUGUGCAGAAGAUCGUUUGUAUACACGCCCACUGUGGAUCCUGAUACAAAGUAAUAUGUUCGAGCAUUACCUUUCCUUUUACACGGAAAGCCAGAAACUUGGAAGAAAACAAUGGAGAGGAAAUAUAAUAUUCUUGUCGAUCCCAUUUUAGUCCGACAAAUUAUUCACAAAUCACCGAUACUGUUUCCACCGCUACUUAUACGAGACUAAUGGACAGUAAUUGCUCACGGUUUAUAAAUUAAAUAGUUUUCAAAGUCAUUGACACUAUAGCAAUCUUUUAUAUUUACAUUUCUACAAUAAUAAAAGUGAAGACAAAGUUUU